rnacentral:tRNA from 1 species
AGGCACCUGUUUGGAUGAAGCACGGGUCGUCUAACAAGGCAUGGGACCCAUAGAUUCAUUGUCUGCUGUGCCAAUU